UUGAACGCUGGCGGCAGGCCUAACACAUGCAAGUCGAACGGUAACAGGAAGCAGCUUGCUGCUUCGCUGACGAGUGGCGGACGGGUGAGUAAUGUCUGGGAAACUGCCUGAUGGAGGGGGAUAACUACUGGAAACGGUAGCUAAUACCGCAUAACGUCGCAAGACCAAAGAGGGGGACCUUCGGGCCUCUUGCCAUCGGAUGUGCCCAGAUGGGAUUAGCUAGUAGGUGGGGUAACGGCUCACCUAGGCGACGAUCCCUAGCUGGUCUGAGAGGAUGACCAGCCACACUGGAACUGAGACACGGUCCAGACUCCUACGGGAGGCAGCAGUGGGGAAUAUUGCACAAUGGGCGCAAGCCUGAUGCAGCCAUGCCGCGUGUAUGAAGAAGGCCUUCGGGUUGUAAAGUACUUUCAGCGGGGAGGAAGGGAGUAAAGUUAAUACCUUUGCUCAUUGACGUUACCCGCAGAAGAAGCACCGGCUAACUCCGUGCCAGCAGCCGCGGUAAUACGGAGGGUGCAAGCGUUAAUCGGAAUUACUGGGCGUAAAGCGCACGCAGGCGGUUUGUUAAGUCAGAUGUGAAAUCCCCGGGCUCAACCUGGGAACUGCAUCUGAUACUGGCAAGCUUGAGUCUCGUAGAGGGGGGUAGAAUUCCAGGUGUAGCGGUGAAAUGCGUAGAGAUCUGGAGGAAUACCGGUGGCGAAGGCGGCCCCCUGGACGAAGACUGACGCUCAGGUGCGAAAGCGUGGGGAGCAAACAGGAUUAGAUACCCUGGUAGUCCACGCCGUAAACGAUGUCGACUUGGAGGUUGUGCCCUUGAGGCGUGGCUUCCGGAGCUAACGCGUUAAGUCGACCGCCUGGGGAGUACGGCCGCAAGGUUAAAACUCAAAUGAAUUGACGGGGGCCCGCACAAGCGGUGGAGCAUGUGGUUUAAUUCGAUGCAACGCGAAGAACCUUACCUGGUCUUGACAUCCACAGAACUUUCCAGAGAUGGAUUGGUGCCUUCGGGAACUGUGAGACAGGUGCUGCAUGGCUGUCGUCAGCUCGUGUUGUGAAAUGUUGGGUUAAGUCCCGCAACGAGCGCAACCCUUAUCCUUUGUUGCCAGCGGUCCGGCCGGGAACUCAAAGGAGACUGCCAGUGAUAAACUGGAGGAAGGUGGGGAUGACGUCAAAUCAUCAUGCCCCUUAUGAGCAGGGCUACACACGUGCUACAAUGGCGCAUACAAAGAGAAGCGACCUCGCGAGAGCAAGCGGACCUCAUAAAGUGCGUCGUAGUCCGGAUUGGAGUCUGCAACUCGACUCCAUGAAGUCGGAAUCGCUAGUAAUCGUGGAUCAGAAUGCCACGGUGAAUACGUUCCCGGGCCUUGUACACACCGCCCGUCACACCAUGGGAGUGGGUUGCAAAAGAAGUAGGUAGCUUAACCUUCGGGAGGGCGCUUACCACUUUGUGAUUCAUGACUGGGGUG
rnacentral:rRNA from 1 species